UCCAAUUCACUUGGAGCGAUGCGAGCAGCAACAGCAGUGCAGACGAGGCUUCGGCGAUGAAGCGAUGGACUGCGAGGUAAGCUGCUUCGAUGGAGGAAUCAAAUGGCGAUACAUCUGCUGGUAAGGGCAUCCGGCAGCAGUCCUUGACAGAAGAAGAAAGAGGAGGGUGCGACGGGGCCUGCUUGGUCGUCGAUGGUGGAAACAGAAAUCAACGGAGGGGAAAAGGGGGUGUUCGGUUGUUUCCCUUGAUAUGAAGGAGAGGUGAGGAGGGACUGUUGCCUCAUGCUUUCACGGGAAAUUUCCACCUCCAGUGGAGGUUUUAUCGACUGCAACUGAUGAAGAAAGAGGGAGGACAAUAGCAACACCAUAGCAAAUUCAGGGGGUGUUUGUGGUUGUUCGAUGCCCGACAGGAGGCAGCUAGAGGAGAAGAGAGGUUGUGCCUCUAUCGCCCACCGGAAAACUCAAUCUCCGGUGGUGUCUUUGACAGUUCACGAAGAAGAAAAGAAGAAUGCAGAAAUGGUUUUCCUUUUCUUGUGUGUGAUUUAGUAUAAGUUAAAGCAGCAUUAUAAUAUAUUAUCUAUUAUUGUGUUUAAUUGAUCUGACAAUACUGAACAUUUUUCUCCCAUCCAAAUUUUAUGUGCAAGCAAUCAAAGGUUUUUGACGUUUUCUCAUCA